GGAACGCCGGAUCCAAGCACGGGUGUAAGAUUUCCCUUUUCAAAGGUGGAGAAUAAGAAAUGAGCCCGAGUGUGUAACGGCGUCCAUAGUGGGGUGGACGAGACAGAGGGGAUGGGGCAAGGAGCGCGGGUGGGGCUCUCACCGCGACUUGAAUGUGGAUGAGAGUGGGACGGUGACGGCGGGCGCGAAGGCGACGGCAUCGCUUCUCGGCCUUUUGGCUAAGAUCAAGUGUAGUAUCUGUUCUUAUCAGUUUAAUAUCUGAUACGUCCUCUAUCCGAGGACAAUAUAUUAAAUGGAUUUUUGGAGCAGGGAGAUGGAAUAGGAGCUUGCUCCGUCCACUCCACGCAUCGACCUGGUAUUGCAGUACCUCCAGGAACGGUGCACCACCUCCGGGGAUACAACGCGUUUGCUAAAAGUAGAAGGGGAGAGAGAGAGAGAGAGCAUGGGCGGGGCGGCUUGCAAACCAAGCGUCUGUGAUACGCCGUCUUGCCGGCUCAACUGCUCGUUGGAGUACCGUGGGGUUUCUGACCUGCGGGCAGCAAACGGUAACGAACAGCUUUGGAAGACCGGGGCAGGAGUAUCACUUGAGGCCAAGAGUUCCAGGCAAAACUAGGCAACAUAGGAAGACCGUGUCUCCAUAAGAAUUAAAAAAACGGGUCGAAGCAGUGGCUCAUGACCGUAAUCCCAGCACUUUGGGAGGCCCAGGCAGGAGGUCAGGAGUUAGAGACCAGCCUGGCCAACAUGGUGAAACCACAUCUCUACUAUAAAUAGAAAAAAUUAGCCAUGCAUGGUGGCACGUGCCUGUAAUCCCAGCUACUCGGGAGGCUGAGACAGCAGAAUUGUUUGAACCCGGGAGGCAGAGGUUGCAGUGAGCCGAGAUCACACCACUACAUGCCAGCCUACGUGACACAGCAAGACUCUGUCUCACAAAAAAAUAAAUAAAUAGAACACUUGGUUCGGGAACAGUGGCUCAGGACUGUAAUCCCAGCAUGUUGGCAGGCCGAGGCAGGUGGAUCACUUGAGGUCAGGAGUUCAAGACCAGCCUAACCAACAAGAUGAAAGCCAACCUGUACUAAAAAUACAUGAAUUAACUGGGUCUGGUGACCCGCACCUAUAAUCCUAGCUACUCGAGAGGUUGUGGCAAGAGAAUCGCUUGAAACUGGGAGGCGGAGGUUGAAAUGAGCCCAGAUCGCCCCAUUGUACUUCAGACUGGGCAACAAGAGUGAAAUUCCGUCUCAAAAAAAAAAAAAGGCUCACGCCUGUAAUCCCAGCACUUUGGGAGGCCGAGGCGGGCGGAUCACAAGGUCCGGAGAUCGAGAUCAUCCUGGCUAACACAGUGAAACACCGUCUCUACUAAAAAUAAAAAAAAUUAGCUGGGCGUGGUGGCGGGCGCCUGUUGUGCCAGCUACU
rnacentral:lncRNA from 1 species